CCCUUAGAUGUUCUGGGCGGCCCGCGCACUACACUGGCACUCUCAAUCAGAGCCUGGAUCUAACACUUUGGGGUAUUCUAUGAAGUGGUGUCGUGACUGGGAUUAACCCUUGCAAUUAUUGGUUACGAACGAGGAAUUCCUUGUAAUCGCGGUUUAUCAGCCCGCGUUGAAUGCGUCCCUGCCCUUUGUACACACCGCCCGUCGCUCCUACCGAUGGAUCGUCCGGUGAAGCUCAUGGAGGGGCGGUUGUCUCAGCUGCCGUCGAAGUGAAAUGGACCUCACGAUCUAGAGGAAGGAGAAGUCGUAACA
rnacentral:rRNA from 1 species